GCUGGUGUAGCUUAAACUAAAGCAUAACACUGAAGAUGUUAAGAUAAGCCUUGAAAAGCUUCACGAGCA
rnacentral:tRNA from 1 species